rnacentral:rRNA from 1 species
GUGGGGAAUCUUGCGCAAUGGGCGAAAGCCUGACGCAGCCAUGCCGCGUGAAUGAUGAAGGUCUUAGGAUUGUAAAAUUCUUUCACCGGGGACGAUAAUGACGGUACCCGGAGAUGAAGCCCCGGCUAACUUCGUGCCAGCAGCCGCGGUAAUACGAAGGGGGCUAGCGUUGCCCGGAAUUACUGGGCGUAAAGGUCGCGUAGGCGGACAGUUUAGUCAGAGGUGAAAGCCCAGGGCUCAACCUUGGAAUUGCCUUUGAGACUGGCUGGCUUGAGUACGGGAGAGGGGAGUGGAACUCCGAGUGUAGAGGUGAAAUUCGUAGAUAUUCGGAAGAACACCAGUGGCGAAGGCGGCUCACUGGCCCGUUACUGACGCUGAGGCGCGAAAGCGUGGGGAGCAAACAGGAUUAGAUACCCGAGUAGUCC